ACCGUGAAAGCGUGGCCUA
rnacentral:sRNA from 1 species